UUUGAAAUAAAAAUGAAAGUAGAGGGAGAACGGUCAUGAAUAACACAAAGAAGGAACUCAUCUUCUUCAUCCAGCUCCACAAAAAAUGGCAUAUCACAUUUUAUGGCCUCGUGGUGAAAUUGACACGGCAAUACACUCGGCCUAGCUCAUAGAUGUCCUUUCCAUGCUUAGAUUUCACCAAUUCCAUCUAAGCAUGGAGAAUUUCAGCUUAACCGAACAUGAAAGCAAAACCUAAUUUUAAAAUUAAAUGACAAAGGUGUAGCAAUAAUGAAUCAAAGCAUGGGAAAAUGUUCAGUGCAUCAAGACGCUUCCAGUGAUAUCACAUUUUGUGCAAAUAGAUCAAGAUUACUACCUUGCCAGAGUUUGAUCAAGAUUACUCCCUUGGGCCUGCAUUUGAUUGCUUUUUUCACAUGUAUGAUGCUUGCAUUAAUCACACUUAAUCUAGAUGGCUUGGCUUGGAAAUUUUCAUGGUUUGCUCGAGCUUGAUUUGAAGAUGAUAAUGAUGUUGUCGUUGUUGUUUGAUUCAUGGUAGUUGUAACUCAGCCUUGCUUUGGCUCGUGAAUGGAAUAUGAUGGCAUGCUUGGUUUGGCUU
rnacentral:lncRNA from 1 species